CGGUGUGUAGCUCAGUUGGUAGAGCACGGGGUUUGGGACCUCGGGGUCGGAGGUUCGAGCCCUCUUGCACCGA
rnacentral:tRNA from 6 species